rnacentral:rRNA from 1 species
AUGUGGCACAAGACCGACAAUACCUUGCUGGUGAUGGUCAACGGCCGGCAGACGGGCAGCAAAAAGGUUCUGGUGCUGCACACCAACAUGAACUUCGACCAGCAGGGGACCAACUGGGUGAUGCACCAGUACCACCUCGGGGACCUGGAGCAAGAGAAGGAGCGAGAGCUGGUCCUCUGCAACAUUUUCUACCAGACGAACACUAGGGCCAGGAGUCGAGCAAGUUUCAACUGGGUUGUAGAGUGCCCAGGCUUGGUUUUGUUUUUAACAAGCCCAGCCCAUGACGACAACGGGGAACAAAGAUCCAACAUGUAUCUACUGGCCUCUGGCCCGCCGGCGUUAGUUAUAUUUUGUCUUACAACAUCCGCAGGCAGUUUUUUUACUGAAUCAAACACAUAG